UUAGACAGCCACACAGGUGACUUCUCGAACAAAAAUCAAGCUAAGUAUGUACAAUCAAAACUGCAGGUAGCCCUUCAAGAUUUUUGGAUACAUAACUAACAGCUAGACAUUAGUAGUCUGCAACAAGUUCUGCUUUUCUAAUUUCUAAAAUUGCGUAUAUCUAGGAAUGAAUGAUUUACCAAGAUUCUGUAUAGUCUCAUUCUAAACUUCAGAAAGAGAUACUCCUGCUGGUUGGAUCAAAGAGCAAGACUGAAGCAUCCUGUUAAGAACUACUUCUGCAAGCCUCAUCGAUCUCCACUUCAUCGAGGAAGUCCAAGGAACCGUAAUCAUUUUCUGCCUCCAACCGAAUACCAGCAGAUAGCUCCAUCUUUCCUAGGGAUUCAAGACCUUUGAUCAAUGUUGUAUAUGUUAUCCUGUCAGGAUCACUGUCCCACAAUUUCAUUAGACGGAAACAGUCCAUUGUUAAUUGUGUGAACCCAGCAUCUAGGAGUUCCUUCAGAAGCAGAUUGAAACCUUCUGUAUCAGGUUCUAACUGUUCCUUCUUCAGAUAUGAACAGGCUCUGUCGACCUCAAUCCGCAAACCUUUGCUUGCAAGCACUGUAACAAGAUCUACAUACCAAAGCAACCUAGGUUUGUACCAAUGCUCCUUCCGAAUUUCCUCAAAGACCUAUCAGAAUUAACAAUUCCUUAAUCCCUUUUACCUUUUAUGUAUCAUGGAUCAUCUCAUUUUGUUGGCCUAAACAACAAUAAAUAGAUGGCAAAAUCUACCAGGAAUAUGUAUCCAAUAAUCCCCCAAAAAGGCCAUUUAUAGACGCUAACAUUAAAAAGGUAUAACUAUAAGAAAUUAGAAGUUUAUAAACCGAUGGUAAAUUGGUGACAAACUAGAAAUACAGCGGAUCCAUUAUAUAACAGAAAUGAGGUUUAUAAACAACUAUAUUGGAUACACAUCUGUUAGGGGUAGUUUAUAAAGGCUGAUAGGUUUUAGCUAAACCAUUUUUCUCAAAUUUCUUAUCUGCUUAAGCAUCAUUGAGAAUUAAGGCAUGCUUUAGUUUUAAAAAUUUCGGCAGUGGGCACAACUUAAGCAUGGCAUAACCCCAUGAGAGGAAUUAGGUUACCCCAGGAUAACUAUUUUACAUAUUAUUUGCUAAUUUGUGUAUUCACAGGUAAUUGAUCAAUAGAAUAUGAUGAAGAAUUUGCCUUACAACGCCCAAAUACCCACAAAAGUCAUUUGCAAUAGCAGCUUCAUGUGCCAUUUGCAAUAGCAGCUUCAUGUGGACUGUCGGUGAAGAAGCAAAUACAUAUAACACCACAUACCUGGAAGGCCAAGAGCGCCUCACCCUGCGCGGCAAGCUCGCGGAAGACAGCGACCAUGUCUGUCUUGAGGAGGCGUCGCAGCUUGGGCUCCACCGUGGCAGCAGUGGAUGCAGAGGGGGCACUGCGCCGUGCGGCGCGCUUGAGGGACUGGACGGCCUGGAUGGCCUCUGUGCUGAGGUACCGCCCACGCUGUGUGGGCUUCCGGUUCUUGCCACGGUCCCGCAUCGUGAUGGUCAUGGCAGCCGCAAUCCUCCGGUGAGCGCCAUAACGGAUUUGGUGUAGGCGUAAUGAUGAACAGGCGGGUGAGAGGAGUAUCGACAUACGGAUCUGCCUCUAC
rnacentral:lncRNA from 1 species